rnacentral:rRNA from 1 species
GAUGAACGCUAGCGGCAGGCCUAACACAUGCAAGUCGAGGGGUAGAAGGAGCUUGCUCCUUUGAGACCGGCGCACGGGUGCGUAACGCGUAUGCAAUCUACCUUGUACAGGGGAAUAGCCCAGAGAAAUUUGGAUUAAUGCCCCAUAGUAUAUAACCUUCGCAUGUUGGUUAUAUUAAAGUUUCAACGGUACAAGAUGAGCAUGCGUCCCAUUAGUUAGUUGGUAAGGUAACGGCUUACCAAGACGAUGAUGGGUAGGGGUCCUGAGAGGGAGAUCCCCCACACUGGUACUGAGACACGGACCAGACUCCUACGGGAGGCAGCAGUGAGGAAUAUUGGUCAAUGGUCGCAAGACUGAACCAGCCAUGCCGCGUGCAGGAAGACGGUCCUAUGGAUUGUAAACUGCUUUUAUACAGGAAGAAACCCUCCACGUGUGGGAGCUUGACGGUACNGUAGGAAUAAGG